AUUGAACGCUGGCGGCAUGCUUUACACAUGCAAGUCGAACGGUAACAGGUUAAGCUGACGAGUGGCGAACGGGUGAGUAAUGCAUCGGAACGUGCCCGAUCGUGGGGGAUAACGCAGCGAAAGCUGCGCUAAUACCGCAUACGAACUGAGGAUGAAAGCGGGGGACCGUAAGGCCUCGCGCGAUCGGAGCGGCCGAUGUCAGAUUAGGUAGUUGGUGGGGUAAAGGCCCACCGAGCCGACGAUCUGUAGCUGGUCUGAGAGGACGACCAGCCACACUGGGACUGAGACACGGCCCAGAGUCCUACGGGAGGCAGCAGUGGGGAAUUUUGGACAAUGGGCGAAAGCCUGAUCCAGCAAUGCCGCGUGCAGGAAGAAGGCCUUCGGGUUGUAAACUGCUUUUGUACGGAGCGAAAAGGUCCUUUCUAAUACAAGGGGCUCAUGACGGUACCGUAAGAAUAAGCACCGGCUAACUACGUGCCAGCCGCCGCGGUAAUAC
rnacentral:rRNA from 1 species